AACGAACGCUUGCUGCAUGCUUUAUACAUGCAAGUCGAACGGAGGCCCUAGCUUGCUAGGUGUCCUUAGUGGCGCACGGGUGAGUAACACGUGGGAACAUACCUCAUAGUACGGAAUAACUGCGGGAAACUGUAGCUAAUACCGUAUAUUCCAGCAAUGGGAAAGAUUUUAUCGCUAUGAGAUUGGCCCGCGCAAGAUUAGUUUGUUGGUAAGGUAAUGGCUUACCAAGGCUACGAUCUUUAGCUGGUUUGAGAGGAUGAUCAGCCACACUGGGACUGAGACACGGCCCAGACUCCUACGGGAGGCAGCAGUAGGGAAUAUUGGACAAUGGGGGAAACCCUGAUCCAGCAAUGCAGCGUGAGUGACGAAGGCCUUAGGGUUGUAAAACUCUUUCAUCGGUGAGGAUAAUGACAGUAGCCGAAGAAGAAGGACCGGCUAAUUCCGUG
rnacentral:rRNA from 1 species